CACGUAGGGCGCAAGCGUUGUCCGGAAUUAUUGGGCGUAAAGAGCUCGUAGGUGGUUUGCUGCGUCCGCUGUGAAAACCCAAGGCUUAACCUUGGGCUUGCAGUGGAUACGGGCAGACUAGAGGUAGGUAGGGGAGAAUGGAAUUCCCGGUGUAGCGGUGAAAUGCGCAGAUAUCGGGAGGAACACCGGUGGCGAAGGCGGUUCUCUGGGACGGUACUGACGCUGAGACGCGAAAGCGUGGGGAGCGAACAGG
rnacentral:rRNA from 1 species